CGGUGCGGGUGAUCGCGGGCGUAUUUUUACGCGCGAGGAAAGUCCGGGCUACAUAGGGCAGGAUGCCGGAUAACGUCCGGCGGAGGAGACUCCCGGGAAAGUGCAACAGAAAUUAAACCGCUCGUCGGUUCACUUUUUGACUGUUGUAUAUGAUUAAAGACUGAAAGUGACAGUUAAAAAGUGAGCUGGCGAGUAAGGGUGAAAUGGCGAGGUAAGAGCUCACCGCCUUGCUGGUAACAGCAAGGGCGUAUGUAAACCCCAUCCGUAGCAAGACCAAGCAGAAGACUAUACGGCUGCCCGUCGUGUCUUCGGGUAGGUUGCUUGAGGCCGUCGGUAACGGCGGUCCUAGAUAGAUGAUCACCUAUUACAGAACCCGGCUUAUAGCACCGCUUA
rnacentral:RNase_P_RNA from 1 species